GACGUAGGGGGCGAGCGUUAUUCGGAUUCACUGGGCGUAAAGGGUGCGCAGGCGGCCAAGUGUGUGAGGCGUGAAAGCCUGGGAGCUUAACUCCAGAAUUGCACCUCAAGCUACAUGGCUAGAGCAUUGGAGAGGGUAGCGGAAUUCACGGUGUAGCAGUGAAAUGCGUAGAUAUCGUGAGGAACACCAGAGGCGAAGGCGGCUACCUGGACAAUUGCUGACGCUCAGGCACGAAAGCUAGGGGAGCAAACAGG
rnacentral:rRNA from 1 species